rnacentral:lncRNA from 1 species
UUCCUCUCAGUUGGAAAAAACAUCCUUACUCCAAAUUGUGCCGUCGACCACUCUUGCAAGUCGCUUUCGCCGACGGCCUAUGAGCGGUUGUGCGAAGGCUCCUCUUACUCCCACUCCCAAACGAAUCUUGAAGAGUUUUGGAGGAUUUUUCGAUGGCUACUUCUAACUUCAGUUUUCGGGGCAUUAAGAAUUUGUGGAAGAGUUAUG